GGAGGGGAGCACGUUGGGGGGGCGGGCAAAGCAGAAGGGGACAGCCUUUGGCUCCCCCCGCCCCUCUGCUCGGCCGCCGUCUAACACCCAAUGGGCUGCAGUACCUACUCGCCCUCCAAUCAGGGCGGUGGUUGGUGAGAACCUGCUCAUGACGCCACUUUGGCGGGAGAAACAAGCGUGUCCCAGCGAGUAAGCGGGGGCAUUUUCUGAGCGGAAACUGCGAUUUUCAUCUGCUUCCUUGGCUCUUUCUAUGGAAGCCAGUCUGUCAUCGGGUUAUUUCCCUUAAGCAACUCUGGCUUUUAUGGGCUCGGAAUUUAUGACCGAAUUUCCACGAAUUAAAAAACAAUCCAAACAGGCGCUUACCAUUCAAACAGCAAACUACAGAAUGAUAUCCCAAAGAUGAAGUAUUGGAAACUAUCAUAAAUUCCAGCGUUCCUGGGAGGACUACUCCUAAUUGUAUGCUUCCAAAGCAGUAUGUCUUCACACCCCUUUUAAUUAGCAGUGACUGGCUUGUUAUGACGUCUGAUUAAAUAAUGAACUUAUUUAAGAGCAAACAGCGCUGGCGAUCUUUAAUAGGCAUAUUUUAGCUGGAAGGCUUAUUACCCAACCCUUAAAGCAUUAAAGAAAAAAAUUUUUUUUUUUUUUUAAAUAUCCUAGAGAGAGGGCUUCCUAGGCAAGGAACCUAGCCUCAUAAACUCAUUCUCAAGCCCUGGAGAUGGACAUCAUGCUUGGUAAAGGGUCGGCGGAAAAGAGGAAGACCCUCAGCCAGAAGGAUUGACCCAGUGACUCCAACAAUGGGCUCAAACAUAGCAGCGAUUUUGUGAGGAUGGCAUAGGACCGGGCAGUGUUUCUUCUGUUGUACAUAGGGUCGCGAUGAGUGGUAACCCACUCCACCUAACAACCACCACGAAACCAAUGGGAUAGGAUUCAAAACUAGGUGACAAACUUCAGAAGUUCAACCUGUUGUAUGACUGAGAAGCUGCUACUGUAUCAGCAUCACAAGAUAAAGCACUCUGGUAUCACCUUGCCCAUAUUCUCUUUAGUGUCACCUAAGACAUUUGACUCUGAUACGGUAACUGAUAACUUUUCUUGCUCCA